UACGGAGGAUCCGAGCGUUAUCCGGAUUUAUUGGGUUUAGAGGGUGCGCAGGCGGGGGAUUAAGUCGGCGGUGAAAUUUUGCAGCUCAACUGUAAAAGUGCCUUCGAAACUGGUUUCCUUGAGUGUAGAUGAAGUAGGCGGAAUUUGUGGUGUAGCGGUGAAAUGCAUAGAUAUCACGAGGAACUCCGAUUGCGCAGGCAGCUUACUAAACUACUACUGACGCUCAGGCACGAAGGCGUGGGGAUCAAACAGGAUUAGAUACCCCCGUAGU
rnacentral:rRNA from 1 species